rnacentral:rRNA from 1 species
UACGUAGGGGGCAAGCGUUGUCCGGAAUCAUUGGGCGUAAAGAGCGUGUAGGCGGUUCGGUAAGUCGGCUGUGAAAGUCCAGGGCUCAACCCUGGGACGCCGGUCGAUACUGCCGGACUAGAGUUCGGAAGAGGCGAGUGGAAUUCCCGGUGUAGCGGUGAAAUGCGCAGAUAUCGGGAGGAACACCUAUGGCGAAGGCAGCUCGCUGGGACGUUACUGACGCUGAGACGCGAAAGCGUGGGGAGCAAACAGG